UCUACGCCGUAAACGAUGGAUACUAGUUGUUUGGCCUUCGGGCUGAGUGACCAAGCGAAAGUGAUAAGUAUCCCACCUGGGGAGUACGUUCGCAAGAAUGAAACUCAAAGGAAUUGACGGGGGCCCGCACAAGCGGUGGAGCAUGUGGUUUAAUUCGAUGAUACGCGAGGAACCUUACCAGGGCUUAAAUGUAGUCUGACAGCUUUAGAGAUAGAGUUUUCUUCGGACAGAUUACAAGGUGCUGCAUGGUUGUCGUCAGCUCGUGCCGUGAGGUGUCAGGUUAAGUCCUAUAACGAGCGCAACCCCUGUGGUUAGUUGCCAGCGAGUAAUGUCGGGAACUCUAGCCAGACUGCCGGUGCAAACCGUGAGGAAG
rnacentral:rRNA from 1 species